UAGGGAAUCUUCCACAAUGGACGCAAGUCUGAUGGAGCAACGCCGCGUGAGUGAAGAAGGCUUUCGGGUCGUAAAACUCUGUUAUUGAAGAAGAACGUGUGUGACAGUAACUGGUCAUGCAGUGACGGUAUUCAAUCAGAAAGUCACGGCUAACUACGUGCCAGCAGCCGCGGUAAUACGUAGGUGGCAAGCGUUGUCCGGAUUUAUUGGGCGUAAAGCGAGUGCAGGCGGUC
rnacentral:rRNA from 1 species